UGUCAAACCUGAAUUUUUAUUUGCCCCUUUUGCUCCUCCAGUGUUCGCGGUCAUCCGUGACAUGUUCCCGCCCUCCGGGGACGAGGCACCCGGACUUCAAACCUAUCAUGGAUCCCAGUUCUCACAAGUAUUUGGACAGACAACGCAAAUCAUCAGACAAGGGGUCAACGAGGGGACGAGGCGGAGGUCGUGACACGGGAUACACCAACGGGGGUAGGGGAAGCGCUCGCCGACCUCCACCGGACCAAGCAUCCUUCAGCUGAGGUCAAUAUGGACACUGGUAUCGUCAAUGUAAUGCUCCCCCAUUGAUGCAACAGAGACCUCCAGUGGGACCCGGAGAGGCCCCACCUCAAAGAGGAGGCUACAGAGCUCCACGCGCCAGAGGUGGACGCGGCCUGGCACCCUGGCAAGAGCAUCUGCAGCAGGCUCCACA